rnacentral:rRNA from 1 species
UACAGAGGGUGCGAGCGUUAAUCGGAUUUACUGGGCGUAAAGGGCGCGUAGGCGGCUUGCACAGUCAGGCGUGAAAUUCCUGGGCUCAACCUGGGGACUGCGCUUGAGACGUGUGGGCUUGAGUGGGGAAGAGGGUCGUGGAAUUCCCAGUGUAGAGGUGAAAUUCGUAGAUAUUGGGAAGAACACCGGUGGCGAAGGCGGCGACCUGGUCCUUGACUGACGCUGAGGCGCGAAAGCGUGGGGAGCAAACAGG